rnacentral:rRNA from 2 species
UUGACCUCGGAUCACGUAGGGAUACC